rnacentral:rRNA from 1 species
UGGGGGAUAUUGCACAAUGGGCGAAAGCCUGAUGCAGCGACGCCGCGUGGGGGAUGAAGGCUUUCGGGUUGUAAACCUCUUUCGCUAUCGAACAAGGCCCGCUUAGGGUGGGUUGAGGGUAGGUGGAGAAGAAGCGCCGGCUAACUACGUGCCAGCAGCCGCGGUAAUACGUAGGGCGCGAGCGUUGUCCGGAAUUAUUGGGCGUAAAGGGCUUGUAGGCGGCUUGUUGCGCCUGCUGUGAAACCGCGGGGCUUAACUUCGCGCGUGCAGUGGGUACGGGCAGGCUUGAGUGUGGUAGGGGUGACUGGAAUUCCAGGUGUAGCGGUGGAAUGCGCAGAUAUCUGGAGGAACACCGAUGGCGAAGGCAGGUCACUGGGCCAUUACUGACGCUGAGGAGCGAAAGCAUGGGUAGCGAACAGG